CACCGAAGAGGGUGUUUGUUGAGUUGUGUGGGUUUCUUCUGUUUUUGAAUGUUUGUCUGUUUGUUUUGUUAAAGCAUUUCGUGGAUUUAUCUGGAAGCAGCCGCCUUUUCCAGGACUCCGGGGAUGCAGGCGGACCGAGGCGGCACUGUCCGAGGCGAUAGCGGUGGCAACCUUCAAGGGCGCUCUAAACGUCAGGAGAUAAAUCUACGUGCUGUCAAACCUGCUGCUCUCAGGACUGAAGGACUAAAUUUCCUUUUGCUAUAUAGCCCCACUCGGGCACCAUCUGGAAGUCUCUGGCGAAGAGGGGAAAUAGCCUUCCCUGAUUAAUUUUUCAGACCAUACUGAGAUAAAACUGAUGUUUGUCCCCGUGUGUCGUGUCCUGCCAUCCGUCGGUCAGGCUGCAAUAAUAGCAGGAGAUAAACAUUGUACACAAGUGGGCACGGCUGCCAGGCGGCACCGGCGCCCAUGGUGCGAUGAACCAGAACCAGGCCACUCCAGGAAACGACUUGCAAGGAAGGCAGGAGUUUUUGUAAGAGCUGGGAAAAGUGGAGUUACUUUUCAUCCAGAAGCACCUCUUUGGUCAUGAAACCAAGCAAUAUCAGGCUCAGCCCAUACCUGGAUAAGAUACAUUGAAGAAAAGCAGCACUUUGGAAGUAAACAUCUGAGAUCUGACCAGGGGAGUGAAAAUCCUGGCGAUGGCCUGUCUCCAAGGUGAGCUUUUAUAUUGGGGGCUGCCAAGGCAGAUGUUGCUAAAGAAAGAAUGUGCAGAUGUCAAAAGCCUGAAUGAAAUUCUUAAAAGAGUGUUGAGUGCCUUAAGCUCAUCUCUACUAUGGCUUGGGGUUCUGCAAGGCUUCUGUGAGUUAGAAGAGCUCCACAUAACCAGAUGGGAAAGUAAAGAGUUUGAGGCAGAAUGAGUUUACUCUAGAUACCCAGAAAUUGAACUGUUUGCAUGUUUGUAUCUAAAUAUUGGCUGUACCUGCAGAAUCUCUUCAAUGGAUGCUUUUUAUAAAGAAAUAAUUUAGUUUUACAGAUAUGGAGUCUUACUGUGUGCCUCUCAGCAUGGAAUGCAAGGGUGGUAACAGCUAGUCUAAUUACAGCCACCAAUAAAGAAGAAUUUGUAAUUAACCACAAAACAUUAUUGCAAUGAGAAACCAGAAAAAUUAGAGGCCUGGAGGGUCUUCAGCUACUAAAAAGCUGGAUUUUCUGCUAUAAGAAUAGAACUAACAGAACUAAUUUUUUUUUUUUGCCUCUGUCUUGCCUUUAUCUAGAUUUUAUCACUACAUAGAUUGUAAAGGGAAAAGCAGAAACAAAUAUUCUCCCUUUGAUGGAAAAGAUGUGGGAAUCAUACCAAUAGUUAUUGUGUGCUUCAUCAAAAGACUAUUACAGCUUUUUGGUACAAAACCCAAUAUCCUUCUGGGAAGGGUUAAAACAGAGCCACAGUUUGCUUAUCUUUAUCAACUGAUCAUCUUAAGACUCAGGAAAAGAUGCAGGUCCUAUCACAGGGAGAAAGAAUGUAAAAUAGUGCAAUUAAGGUAGCAACAGAAUAGGGAGAAAAACACCAAAACAACCCUUUACCAGUACUACAAACAAGUUUCAAGACCCAUAGAGUUGAAAAAGGUGCAAUGAAAUGAGUGCACUUCAUGCCAUUGCAGUGUAUUUAUAAGUAGGUCUCCCAAGGAACAGCAAAUAAAUAUGGAGUCUGCACAUUAUUAGCACAUGAUGCUUGAAAUAGGAUUCCUGUGAUCUUUUUAUCUGGAGAAAAGAAAUGAGACUUAGUUGCUCCACUGCAUCUCUGCAAAUUCUACUUUGAUAUACAUCAGCUUUGUGAGCCAGUGACAAUUUUUUUUCCUGAUCUUGCUGUCAGGUUACUCAUUUAAGUUACAAUAUUUUGCUCUCUCCUUGUAGAGCAGGAAGACCUUGCAUCGUGCUCCUAUUCCAUGUGUAUAUAGCAAAUUGAAUUAUUCUACUUCCCUUAUUUCCUGCAGGCAGCUGUUACAAUUCCAGCUCUGCCCUAGUAUGAUAUCUCUUAUAGAUCACAAAAAACCCAAAUAGCUUAUUUAAGAAAUAUAUCACAUCUAUGUUCUUUGGUAUGUCCUUGUCAUUUAACAGCAAUCUAAAUCUCUUGGCACAUUACUGUAACAGAUGAUAGAUGAAGAAUUAAUACAAUUUUCCUACAUAUUUUUGAGGAAUUGAAGAGUUCAGAGUACAAAGGCACUGGUUUAGGAUUUCCAAGGAAAUGGAAAAUUCAGUUCUGCCACAUAUUCAAGUUCUAAAAGCAGCUUUCUUUCCUCCUAAAAAAGAGAAAAAACUAAAACCAAACAACAACCAAAGAAAUUUACUCAGAAGGAAUAACACCAUUUGUUUCUGUAAGCAUCACUUGCUUGCAAGUAUGGAAAAUUAUUUUUGUGAAUUGCUUAAUAGGAUGAAUGGAAAUACACAUCAGCUUUGGGUUUUGUUGCUUUGGAUUUGAAGAAAUUGUUGAAUAUUCUCUUUUCUUCUAGAUGAUACGCUCCAAAGGUAUAGAAAGCUCUGGCUGGUUGCUUAUUGAUGGGUUCUAUCAGUCUGGAGAGAAAAAUUCACUUAGCAGUUUGAAAGAAGGAUGGAAUGAUGGCUGAUGUUAAGUACCAAUAUUGGUUUGAAAUGUUAGAAGUAGUGCUUUUGUACCUACAGCACUGUAGUUAUAAUGUACAGCUUAUUCUUUCUUCAUUCACCAAGGGCUGUAUCCUUUACGUGUUCUGCACCUUCUCAAAUAAUUCAGUUUGCUAAUUUCAAAUCAAUUGUUGUCUUAUUCUAUCUCAUCCCUCUCCACAAUUCAGUUGUAAAUCAUUCCACAUGAGGAAAGUCUGUUGUCAAAUUUAACUACUUAAUCCUCUCUUUGUAAAUAUUGGGGCUAGUGUGAUAAUUUUCUUUGGAGUGUAUGCAGCAAUGUCUCUGUAUGUCAAUCAGAAUAUUUGUGAGGCCCACUCACUUUGGGAUUGCACUGCAGCAUUUUGGAGUUUGUCCAUGUUCUGUUAAUCAUUUUUAACCAUUUCAUUGCCCUGGUACUCAUAUUUACAACUCCAAGUCCUUACCCUGGUUUACCUCUUGCUUUGUCCUCCUCUCUGGUUUCUCACUCAGUUUACCCCACUUUUCUCUUGCAGCCUUACUUCUUGCCAGAGAUAUCUCCUAAAUCCACCUACCUAUGAUAGGGAUCAAUUAUUCUUUGCCUCCUUCUCUGACUACUCUUAGUCCCAUUUUUUAUCCCCCUGUUUUAGAAUUCAUAGAAUCAUAGAAUAAUUUGGGUUGGAAAGACCUUUAGAAGUCAUAUAGUCCAACCCCCUGCAAUGAGUAGGGACAUGGUUCACUAGAUGAGAUUACUCAGAGCCUUGUCCAACCUGACCUUGAAUGUUUCCAGGGAUUGGCCACCUACCACCUCUCAGGGCAACUUCUUUCAGUGUUUUACCACCCUCAAAUUCCUCUCCUUUUGCCAAACAUGCUUUCUCCAACUACAUCAACAAUUAUCUCCAGCCAUUCCUUCCUCUUACCAAAGCCAUAUCUCUCACCAACAAUCACCUCUAUAGUUCCUUUCAGAGCUCUGAGUUUUCUCUUUCCUUUCCCUAUGCCAGGGUCACCGGACUCCUUUUCUGAAUCUUCUGCUUGUCUUUUCUUUGUCCUUAGGGCUCUCAGGCAGAUUCCUUUCUUCCUUCUCCCCAGGGUACCCAGCAGAUGAGAGCAUUAGAGGUGGGCUCCAGUGCCCAGCCCUAUGGAGAGUACUGGCAAUCCAAGGCUGAGAUUAGAGGAUUGGUACUAGAUUGGUACUUCAUCCCUGGCCAGCAUGUUGUCUGACACAGACAAAUAUUUUUGGUUGAGCUGUGACAGUGAUUAUGCAUGCUAGAAAUGAUGGAGAGACUUCUGUAUACUGAAAAAUUAUACAAAGUAUAACUGUAUUUUAUUGAUAUAAGAAUUUAUAGUACAAAAAUCACAGCGCAAAUACUGAGUCAUAUAUUUGUCCUGAAAUCUAUGUACAAGUAAAAUGCAAUUUUUAGCUGGAAUGCUUACUGUUGACAGUCUCAGAGAUUGAGGUAACUGUCCUGUUACUCAUUUUAACAGUUUAAGGAAUAUCUAGGGUUACUUUUGUCUUUUUUUUUCAUUAUAAUAAGAUAUGGGAAGAUUAUCUGGCCAAAAAAAUAAAAAUCUGCUUAACAUGUGAGACUUUCUUUCCUUGUUUUACAACAAUAAGAUGAGCUAUAGUUGGCAACUCCACAGUGUAGAAAGUAAAUAAAGAGCAUGGUGAAAAUAAAAGAGCAUAGUGAAAAUGACAGCAACUUUAUGACAGGCA